AACUGUGCUUCAUGAUGCUCCUCCCUCCACUGUCCAAGGAUCCAAGAUUUAUGUUACCCCACCAAAAAGAUGUCCUUUACCUCAGAAUAUGCCCCAAUACAGAAAUGUGUACAAUGACCGGGCGCGGAGGGGAUUCUGCUUCUGGCUCAAUGAAAACAAGCCACCAAAAUGCAAAUCAUACAGUUUGGGCUCCUACAAAACCAAUCUGGGAUUACCGAGAGUCUGAGGGUUUAUCACCAUCUCUCAACCCAACCUUCUUUUUUUAUAUCACAAAAUGUUUGAUGUAUAAUUUAGUCACCUUUCUUCCCUUUCUC